GUCAUGGCUCAGGAUGAACGCUAGCUACAGGCUUAACACAUGCAAGUCGAGGGGCAGCAUGGUCUUAGCUUGCUAAGGCCGAUGGCGACCGGCGCACGGGUGAGUAACACGUAUCCAACCUGCCGUCUACUCUUGGACAGCCUUCUGAAAGGAAGGUUAAUACAAGAUGGCAUCAUGAGUCCGCAUGUUCACAUGAUUAAAGGUAUUCCGGUAGACGAUGGGGAUGCG
rnacentral:rRNA from 1 species